rnacentral:rRNA from 1 species
UACGUAGGGUGCGAGCGUUGUCCGGAAUUAUUGGGCGUAAAGGGCUCGUAGGCGGUCUGUCGCGUCGGGAGUGAAAACUCGGGGCUUAACUCCGAGCCUGCUUCUGAUACGGGCAGACUAGAGGUAUGCAGGGGAGAAUGGAAUUCCUGGUGUAGCGGUGAAAUGCGCAGAUAUCAGGAAGAACACCCGUGGCGAAGGCGGCUCUCUGGGACGGUACUGACGCUGAGACGCGAAAGCGUGGGGAGCAAACAGG